GAACCGCCGACGGGGUCUAGACCACCAGGAGUCCACAAAAAGUCUCACCUCUCCGAGGGCUCCUAUGGCAGUCGGAGCUGUGAGCGAGGACCGAGAUCGGAGCCUCUGAGACGGCUUCCCUCUCCUGUUGGCGCGCUCCGCAGGCGGGGCCUCUGGGGGGGCGGGGCCUGUUUCCUUAACCCCACCGCUCCCGGACCGAAGUCAACAAUAACAGACACUCUGGACCAGGCAGUGCACUAAACUGGGGACCUGGAGAUCCCCUCACACCCGGACCCUCCUCUCGAGGCGCUCAAGAUCUGUGAGGGGAGGCGACACAGACAAGGCAGACAGUGUGAAACAGCGAGAUACGAAAGUACGGAAGAGGAAGGGACUGAGGGACGAGGCCCUGCUUUGCGGAGGUGAUGGCACUGAUCUGGAUCAUGAGGAAUGAAAUAGGAAUUCGCCGAGAGAAACGGAUACCAGGCAGCGAGCGAGAAGAACAAACGCAGAGCUUUGAGGAUAUAAAAACUUCCAGUAGAUUCUGGCCUGAAAGGACUGGAGGCAGAACUGCCCCUGUCCGGAGCAAGGUUUUAGGCUCCAGUUCAUCGCAGAAAAUUUACGACCUUGAGAGUAAAGGAAUGCAGCUGAUUUCAUCGAGCAAACCCCUGGCCCAGAGGGAAAAAAAAAAUGCUUUCCUGAGACUGCACGAGAGGGGAUGGCUGAGCCGGCCAGCAGUAUCCUGACUCGGGGCUGCACCUAUUACUCCAUGUGGGCGGCUCUGGAAGAGCGGCGGCAUCUCUUGUUGGUACACUCACUUGAGUCCUCAGCUUGCAGGAACUGUGAUAAAACUGUCUCCAGCGAGACCCCAGUCCAGAGCUCUGCAAACAGGCUGCUGUGAAGUAUGAAAGGAGUGAUUCAGUGGAGCCCUGCAGGCCGUAGAGGUGACAGGCUAGAAGCUUCAGGAAAGCCAGGACCAGUUCAGCCUUGAUCCCAGCUCUGUCUUCAAGCACCUAGAACAGGGCCUGGCGUCAACUGACUAGGUGAUCAGAGAUCAGCCCUGGGAUUUCUUUGGAAGGAAUGAUGCUGAAGCUGAAACUCCAGUACUUUG